rnacentral:rRNA from 1 species
UACGGAGGGUGCAAGCGUUGUUCGGAAUUACUGGGCGUAAAGCGCGUGUAGGCGGCCUGCUAAGUCUGGUGUGAAAGCCCGGGGCUCACCCCCGGAAGUGCAUUGGAAACUGGCAGGCUGGAGUACCGGAGAGGAGGGUGGAAUUCCUGGUGUAGCGGUGAAAUGCGUAGAUAUCAGGAAGAACACCGGUGGCGAAGGCGGCCCUCUGGACGGAUACUGACGCUGAGACGCGAAAGCGUGGGGAGCAAACAGGAUUAGAUACCCUGGUAGUCCACGCCGUAAACGAUGGGUACUAGGUGUUCGGGGUAUUGACCCCCCGGGUGCCGACGCUAACGCAUUAAGUACCCCGCCUGGGGAUUACGGCCGCAAGGCUAAA